UACAGAGGGUGCGAGCGUUAAUCGGAAUUACUGGGCGUAAAGCGCGCGUAGGCGGCUUUUGCAAGUCGGGUGUGAAAUCCCCAGGCUUAACCUGGGAACUGCAUUCGAGACUGCAUUGCUAGAGUAUGGGAGAGGGAAGUGGAAUUUCCGGUGUAGCGGUGAAAUGCGUAGAUAUCGGAAGGAACAUCAGUGGCGAAAGCGACUUCCUGGACCAAUACUGACGCUCAUGUGCGAAAGCGUGGGGAGCAAACAGG
rnacentral:rRNA from 1 species